rnacentral:ncRNA from 2 species
UACGGGAGUGGCAAGCGUUAUCCGGAAUUAUUGGGCGUAAAGCGUCCGCAGGUGGCCCUGUAAGUCUGUCGUUAAAGCGUGGAGCUUAACUCCAUUUAAGCGAUGGAAACUACAGGGCUAGAGUGUGGUAGGGGCAGAGGGAAUUCCCGGUGUAGCGGUGAAAUGCGUAGAUAUCGGGAAGAACACCAGUGGCGAAGGCGCUCUGCUGGGCCAUCACUGACACUCAUGGACGAAAGCCAGGGGAGCGAAAGGG